UUGUGCUGGAAACCCUCCUGUCCUGUGCACCAAUAGCAUUUCCUGUAUAUUCGUUUUAUGAAUUGUUCUGUCAAUUGUUCUGUAAUUUAUUUCUGUAGCAUGCCCCAAGCAUAGAGUCACCCCUUUGCGUCUGGUCUGCUUGAGCUUUCUUCCUAAGAGGGAGUUUUUCCUUACCACUAUCACAUAUGCAAUG